rnacentral:rRNA from 1 species
GACGAACGCUGGCGGCGUGCUUAACACAUGCAAGUCGAGCGGAAAGGCCCUUUCGGGGGGUACUCGAGCGGCGAACGGGUGAGUAACACGUGAGUAAUCUGCCCCCCACUUCGGGAUAGCCACCGGAAACGGUGAUUAAUACCGGAUAUGACACAUGGUCGCAUGGUUGUGUGUGGAAAGUUUUUCGGUGGGGGAUGUGCUCGCGGCCUAUCAGCUUGAUGGUGAGGUAAUGGCUCACCAUGGCUUCGACGGGUA